AAUUUAUUUUAUAGAUUUAUAUGUUAUAUUUAUUAGAAAAAAUGUACAAUAUCUUAUAUUAUUUUUUCAAUAUUUACAUUAAUAUUUUUAUAUAUUUUUUAAAUUAUAAUAAAUUUAAAACAUAAGUAUAUUGUUUAAACUAAAAGCGUCAAAAUUUAAUUCACAUAAAAUUAAUUCACAUUUACUUUGAAAUUUAAAAUUUAAUUUUGAUUUACCGUAAUUAAAUAUUUUAAUUUUUAAUUCAAAUUUGAUAUCCAAAAUUUCUAAAUUUAAAUUUGUUAAAAU
rnacentral:lncRNA from 1 species